rnacentral:lncRNA from 1 species
UUUUUUUUUUUAAGUGAAGAUGCAGCCACACCACAAGUUCAAAUUGCCCAGGACUCAUUCUAAGGAUCAAAACAGUCUGAGGCUUCCCUGUGAAAGUGCCCCCAGCAGAUGAGGGACAGGUUUCUAGAGGCCAAGUUCCUGAGCAAAGUUUUAAAAUGUAGGCACAUGAAAAUAAGUUGUCAUUAACCCUGUGCUAUGAUAAAAUGACAACAACAAAAACUGACGAACCAAAGGAAAAAAAAAAAUACUUAUAGUAACCGAGAUCCUAAGUGAUUCUGUUUUCAUAGGAAUCUUGAUUUAAAUAUUUCUCUUAAUUUUUGUAAGAAAUUUUUUUUCUUUCAUAGUUGUUUUAAUGUCUAAGUGAAAAAAAAGUGCUUGAUUUAUUACUGAGAUAUAUCUAGUCCUUUUCUGAAAAGAAAGAGACCUCUCAAUGAGUAUUUAUUAUUAAGAAAUCACUGGGACAAGAUUUUGGAGUUAAAAGCAUCUAUUUUGAGGUUUUUCUUUACUAAUUUAACCUGAUUUUACCCAUGCAAACAGCUAACUCAAAGAGGGUCGUGUUACUCUGUCUUCAUUUUCAGCCAAAAGAUGGUGUAGACAAACUCAGGCAAACUAUUAUGAAUAUUGUCAUCCCUACUGUGAAUAUGAUUCAUAUACAUAGGACAGUAGGGCCAUUUUUUAAGGAACCACCAGCCUCCUUCCACUUUAAAGCAAUGCUGUUUUCCAAAAGUAAUACAAGUAGAUGAUUAUGCCCCCAGUGACCAUGCAUGGAGUGUUAGGGUGCUCAGGUGAGCUUGGGAAACUCCUUCUAGGGGUUGCAGGUGGGAAGGGACUGACUGUAAGGGUGUGGGGCCCAUUCUUCCAGCUGAGAAAACAGCUUUGGUGACAAUGCCACCAAGAAUUGACGAUGUCACUAUGAGUCCCCAAAAUGCAGAUGGGGCUGUUCACAGAGGGGAGUAGAGGCAGGUCUCCAACACACCAGAGCACACCUCACCCACCGUGAGGGGGUCCAGGGUUUAGCAAGACAUCUUAUUCCUGAAACGAGGUAGUCUCAAUUUAAAGAAAAUGCUCCCCAGGGUUCUGUGAUGAGUUUGAUGAUUUUAAUUGAAAAAAUUGUUUCAAUCCAAAUCUGCCAUAAACAAAAACUGGGGGGCAUAAAUUUAAACAUGUUAUUUUUUGUUGAAAUAUAAGUGAUUUACAAUACUGUAUUAGGGUCAGGUUUAUAACAUAGUGAAUUAGUAUUUUUAUAGAUUAUAUUCCAUGAAAAGUUACUACAAGAUAAUGGUUGUAAUUUUGCUAUGCAAUAUAUGCUUGCAGCUUAUCUGUUUUAUGUUUUAUUCUUUUAUUUUAUACUUCUUAAUUUCAUUCCCCUAAUUUGCCUCUCCCCCUUUCCACUCGCUGCUGGUAACCACUACAUGUUUUCUGGAUCUAAGUCUAUUUAUGUUUAAAUAGACUUUUGUUUAUACUUUUGUUUAUAUGAUUUUUUUAGAUUCCACCUAUAAGUGAUAUGUAGAAUUUGUCAUUCUCUGACUGACUUAUUUCACUAAGCAUAAUAUUCUCUAAGUCCAUCCAUGUUGCUGCAAAUGGUAGAAUUUCCUUAUGGCUGAGCAAUAUUCCAUUAUCCAUAUUCCUCUGUUGAGGAACACUUAUGUUGCUUCCAUGUCUUGGCUAUUGCAAAUAGUGCUGCUGUGAACAUUGGGGUGCAUUGAUCUUUUCGAAUUAGUGUUUUUGUUUUAUAUGUGGCUAUAUACCCAGGAGUAGAAUUGCUGAAUCAUGGUAACUUUAUUUUUAAAUAUUGGAGGAAUCCCCAUACUGUUUUCCAUAGUGGCUACACCAAUUUACAUUCCUGCCAACAGUGCAGGAGGGUUCCCUUUUCUUCAUGUCUUCUCCCAGUAUUUGUUAUUUGUAGACUUUUUUUUUCAGUCUUUCUGUCUUUUCUAGGGCUGCACCUGUAGCAUAUGGAGGUUCCCAGGAUAGGGGUCUAAUUGGAGCUGUAGUUGCUGUCCUAUGCCACAGCCACAGCACCAUGGGAUCUGAGCCAAGUCUGUGACCUACACCACAGCUCGCAGCAAUGCUGGAUCUUUAACCCACUGAGCGAGGCCAAGGAUUGAACCUGCAACCCCAUGGUUCCUAGUCGGAUUCAUUAACCACUGAGCCAUGACAGGAACUCCUAUUUGUAGACUUUUUAACCAGUUAAUAUUUUUUAUUUAGGAAUUUAUGAUACCUGAGAAAAUCCAGAUUUUAGAACCAUUAAUAUCGAUUAUUACCUCACCCUGUUAGCAAGAGUGAUGGGGGCCAGGGAAAAGUUUUUUUUUUUUUUUUUUUUUUUUUUUUUUCUUAGCUGUUUAUGCUCUAUAGGAGAAUAUUAUGACAAAUUUGACAAAAUGUGUUAGGACUUUGUAUACAUUUCACCUAGGAACUCAAAAUGUGCUUGCUGCUAAUUUGUCUUAUAUCCUCAUCAGUAUGGUGACUGUGGACCAAAGUGUUUAUGUGGCAUAUUGCCUUAGUUUUUAUGAAACUGCAAUUACAGUGUGAAUCAUAGCUUUGAUCAGAGAAGUGAGAAGGAUGCUAUGUGGUUGUCCCAAACAGCUCACAUUCACCAGGGCUAACUGCUUGGAAGCUCUUUGGCCUGUAGGAUGUAUGCAUUAUCUUCUUCACUUAAUCCUCUCCAUUUUAUAAAUGACAAGAUGGAACUCCUUUAGAGAAAUUAUGUGAGGUGGGCACAUCCCUUAACUGGGGACUGCAAACCGUUUUUAGAUUCUAAGAUUAGAUUUGUAAGCACAUUGAGUUUUGGAAAUUACCGUUUUUAGAUUCUAAGUUUAGAUUUGUAAGCACACUGAGUUUUGUAAAUCAUACACUCACCUAAACUCUUCACCAGAUUAUCUCCAAUUAUCUGAGAUGUUCUAACCCAUCCUUAGAGCCACUUGAUCCCAUUUUCAGAUGUCCCAGUUCUUCCUUUGAUGUGGGAGGGAUUGUCCUUGAUAGCUGUAAGAUGGGUGCUCAGUCUUGUCUGCCCACUGCUUUCCCAGAGGCUUAGAAUUUAUAUUAGCGUGAUCGUGCACCAAAGGACCAUACUAUUUCCCCAACCCUGAUAUCUGUAAGUAUAUAGAUCUCUGUGCCAAUUGCAAAUAAAGCCCCUCAGGAGGAAAGGCAAGGGGCCACAUGCAGACCAAGGAAUACCAACCGAGUGUAUCCUGUUUUGAAUGUGGUGCUGUGUUCCUGACGAGGCCUCUCUGGUAACAUAUGGUGGUGUUGUCAAAUUGUACUAUUUACAGCCAUGGGGCUGGGCUUGUAGGACUCAUGGGGGAAAAAAAAUUAAAAGAACAAAAACAAUAUCCAUUAACCUCUUUGCUCUGAGUCAUUAUCACCAAUCAGUCUGGAGUUUGUUCUCAUUUUGCUUUGUGUUUUGGCCACCAGGUAAAUUCCCCAGUGACACAGAUGGCUUGUUGGAUGGAGCUCACCACUGAGCCUCUGGCCUGUCAGGCGGUUCAGCUGGUUGUCAGGAUAAAAGGACGACAGGGCUGGCUGCCUCUGUCUCCUGUGAGCUUCUCAAGUGACAAAUGCUAGUGCUUCAGAAACAAACAAACAAAAAGAGUAAGAGGAAAAAUGCCUGUGAGCGAGUGGAGGGCAGUUAUGUUCUUCAUCUCACCUGCAUCUGAGAGCUUAGAUGUCACAGGAAUCAUUAGAACGCCUCAUAGGAGAACACAGGAACAGGCUGCUCUGUUUUAUUAUUUUCUUUUCUUUAUUAAAGUAUACUCGAUUUACAGUGUUGUGUUAGUUGGCAGGCUGAUUAGCUCGGUUAGAGUGUGUGCUAAUAAAAUGUUGUGUUAGUUUCAGUGUACUGCAAAGUGAUUCAUAUAUAUAAAUUCUUUUUCAGAUUAUUAUCCAUUAUAGGUUAUUGGAAAAUAUUGAGUAAAUUUCCCUGUGCUAUGUAGUAGGUCUUUGUUGAUUAUCCAUUUUAUAUGUUGUAGUUUUUAUCUGCUAAUUCAAACUCCUAAUUUAUUCCUCCCCUCUUCCACUUUGGUAACCUUAAGUUUGUUUUCUAUGUUUGUGGUCUAUUUCUGUUUUGUAUAUAAGUUCAUUUGUAUCCUGUUUUAGAUUCUACAUGUGUAAUAUUUGUCUUUCUCUGAUUUACUUCACUCAGUAUGAUAAGCUAUAGGUUAUCCUAGUUUCCACAAAUGACAUCAUUUCAUUCUUUUUUAUGGCUAAGUAAUAUUCCAUUGUAUAAAUGUACCACAUCUUCUUUGUCCAUUCAACUGCCUAUAGAAAUUUAGGCUAUUUCCAUGUCAUGGCUAUUGUGAUUAGUGUUGCUGUGAAUGUUGGGGUGCGUGUAUCUUUUCAAAUUAGAGCUUCCUCCUGUUAUAUGCCCAGGAGUGGGAUUGAUGGAUCAUUUGAUAGUUGUUUUUAGUUUUUUAAGGAACCUCCCUCCUGUUCUCCAUAGUGACUGCACUAUUUAUUCAUCAGAAUACAGAAACAUAGACCAUCAUCUCAACACGCAGCUCAGUAGAAAGUCAGGACAGAACUGUACAGGAGGAGCACACAGGGAGAUGUGGACUUAGAAGUAGCAUCUAAGGAAGAUUGCAUGGGUUUAAGGCUCAGGAAAUGGCAGGUGUUCACCCACCAGGCAGAGACAUGGGUCAUGGUCUUAGAGCAAGACCAGCUUCCAUGAAAGUUUGGAGAAAAGUGCAGGGUGAGGUGGUUUGGGACCUCAUUGGCUGAGCACAGUCUGUGGGUUCAUCACAUGGUCCCUGUGCCUGGCUGCUCCUACCCAUGCAGACAGUCCUGGGGACCAUACUGUUCAUUCCUGACCUCAAGCCUGAGCUUGGCUCUUGCCUUGGCCUUGUGUCUUUUCUAUGUAUCCUUCCUGGUCUUGUUGCAGGACACCUCCUGCCUCUUAGUACCAGGGAGAGGAGUCCUUCUUUGUAUCAACCUCCUGCAGUACUCCCAUCAGGAUUAACCACUGAUAUGUCUAUUUCUCUGAGUGAUGCUGAAUGGUGACUGGGUGCCAGAUGUGCUCAGACAUGGGGUCCUGACAAAAAUGAUCCAUAGGAGAAGUUUGUGUUGGACUCCACCCUUAACUCCCCCUUGCUACUUAGAGUCUGUUGUCCUGGAAUGUCCCCCUAAUUCUUCCCCAUGACCCUCAAUAUGUCCAUCUCAGCAGCUUAAGACAUUUAGGUUGACAUGGUUCCUGCAGAUAAUCUUGUAAAGGGCUUCUACUGCCAAUUCUUCAGGAACAGGUCCUUAGCACAAAAUAAUUAGCCAGCAUGUCCAAACUGAUGAAAUGUCAGAAAAUUUUGAAGGGGUUCUCAUAUCAGCUACUCUUUAUGAGUUUCAACAGUGUUCUUAUAAAAAGAAGUGUCUUAAUCACCACAAAGCUCUGAUGGUAGAAAUGUUAAGUGAGGAAGAAAUAAGAGGCUUUUAAAAAGUUCAUAUUCAAGUCAGGGCUCCUGGCUAGUUGGCAGCUCCAUCCACACACAGGGCAGCUUCCCUUUCACAACAGUGUUAAACUCAGAAAGCAAAAGCAAAAACCCAACUGGAACAAUGAUAUGUUUUCCAUAUGAAUGUUGCUGCUUCUUUUAUUGAAAUGCAUGUCAUUGUUCUUGAGGCUGGAAGGCUGAAGAUGAGUGAUGGCAUUUUCCAACUGUGCAGUCAAGCGCCGACCGCAGAACAAUGCGCUUUAAUAAACCUAGUGCAACGUAUCCGGAGGGCUUUGAUCAGCAGGUGCGUCUGGGCAUCACACUACUUCUCUUUCCUUCCUGUUUCCUUCUUUCUGAUGAAUAACCAAAUUAGACUGGAUGGCAGAAAACUUCUUGCAACAGAGUUCGUGUGAACUUCAGUAUCCUGAUUUUACUUUCACCUUCAUCUGAGAAUUUGCCUCCAAAGAAAAAAAAUAAAAUAAAACGAAGGAAUAAAAGGACGUCUGUCUCUUAGAUUGCAAAGCACCUGAUGUUCAGGUUAGUCUCAG